rnacentral:rRNA from 1 species
AUUGAACGCUAGCGGGAUGCCUUACACAUGCAAGUCGAACGGAGUGGCGAACGGGUGAGUAAUGUAUCGGAACGUGCCAAGUAGCGGGGGAUAACUAAGCGAAAGCGUAGCUAAUACCGCAUACUCUUGGGGUGGCGUAUACCGGGUUAGCUGGUUGGUGGGGUAACGGCUCACAAAGGCGAAGAUCCGUCGCUGGUUUGAGAGGAGGACCAGCCACACUGGGACUGAGACACGGCCCAGACUCCUACGGGAGGCAGCAGUGGGGAAUUUUGCACAAUGGGGGAAACCCUGAUCCAGCCAUCCCGCGUGUGGGAUGAAGGCCUUCGGGUUGUAAAGCACUUUUGGCAGGAAAGCGGUACCUGCAGAAUAAGCACCGGCUAACUACGUGCCAGCAGCCGCGGUAAUAC